UACGAAGGGGGCGAGCGUUGUUCGGAUUUACUGGGCGUAAAGGGCGCGCAGGCGGCCCAUUCAAGUCAGGCGUGAAAGCCCCGGGCUUAACCCUGGGAGGUGCGCUUGGGACUGGGUGGCUAGAGAUCGGGAGAGGAGAGUGGAAUUCCCAGUGUAGAGGUGAAAUUCGUAGAGUAUUGGGAAGAACACCGGUGGCGAAGGCGACUUACUGGACACAGUAUUGACGCUGAGGUGCGAAAGCGUGGGGAGCAAACAGG
rnacentral:rRNA from 1 species